rnacentral:rRNA from 1 species
UACGAAGGGGGCUAGCGUUGCUCGGAAUCACUGGGCGUAAAGGGUGCGUAGGCGGGUCUUUAAGUCAGGGGUGAAAUCCUGGAGCUCAACUCCAGAACUGCCUUUGAUACUGAAGAUCUUGAGUUCGGGAGAGGUGAGUGGAACUGCGAGUGUAGAGGUGAAAUUCGUAGAUAUUCGCAAGAACACCAGUGGCGAAGGCGGCUCACUGGCCCGAUACUGACUCUGAGGCACGAAAGCGUGGGGAGCAAACAGG